ACUCCGCUGUACCUGAGCACACACAAGUGUGGUUGAGAAUUCCUGGAGGGAUGCAGAAGAGCUGCUGCUGUAUCAAGGCACAUAGCUCUUGCUUCCACACAAGAGCAUUGUUUAGCGGCUAUGUCUAAUAAGCUGUGUGUUUUAUACAAGUCUCAGCCAGACACUGGGGAAGAUGCUCAACCACGCCAUCUGGUCAGAAGAGACAGAAACACAAGCUGGGUGUCAUCCACAUAUUGAAGACAUCACCACCCAUGCUUCUCUGUUAACCCUCCCAAUGGCCUCACCCACGUGUUAAAUGGGGAAGGACAAGAUGGAGCCCUGUGAAAACCUCUGAGUGCCCAGCAGGAAGCAAAGCAAGUCUACCCUCUGAGAUCGUUCAACAAGAAAUGCAGAGAGCAACACUAUCUACUCCUCCUAUAGCCCCCAGGUAACAAAGCUCAUCUUACUAGGGAAAAUUGAUUUGCUUGGUCUGACCUCGUUCCAGAGAACAGGAAACCAUAUAAAGUGCUCACUCUGAUGUAGGGAAAAAGGUCACUCUCACCCAAUCCAAGAACUGUCAUGAAACUGACCAAGAAGGACAGGCCCUGUGAGAGGCUCUCCGUAUAGAAGAUGGGGAACAUCUGGUUGAUGAGAGAGAGAGGAUGAAGAUGAGCACCAAGAAGGCCUCACUGCUGAAGUCCUACAGUGCUUGCCUGUGAGCUGCGGUAUACCUGGCAUGCUACUGGCACCCUAAGGGGUUGGGGUAUAGAGCAAUAAUUACAAUAGUCUAACACAAUGAUAGAAACUUGUAAUAAAGAUCUUUCUCUAAGGAAGGUCAAGUUAUUAUCCCAAUGAGAAAUGGGUGGCAUAAGAGACAUGAUAGGUAUAUGCCUUUUAUGAAGGUAGAAAUCAAAAUUGUGUUAAAUCAAGAAAAUGAAAAUACUGACCAAGGCAAAGCAGGUGUGACUAACUUCCUUAAAAGACAAUAUAUCUAGGUGUUUGUUGAAACAUAAUGUGUAUAUAUGCAUUGUUAGAUACUUGUUAAAUGGUUUGAUUGGAUAUUUAUUGGAAAUUUCAUCAUUAUGACCAUAAUUUUAAGUGUAAAUUAAAAACAAAACAAACAAACCCAUAAUAUUCUAAAGGGGAGAUUAAAUGAAAGGUCCUGCAAAAAAAAUUAAUUUUCUGAGCCAUGCAGGAGGUGUAUGCAGAUUUCUGUUAGUUGAAUGGCUCCUCAGAGAUAAAUAAUCUGCAUUCAUUUCUUACAGCUGGGAACUGACUGGCAAAUAGUGCUCCUAAUCUUAGUAUUGUUGAAGCCUUGGACAAAAGUACUCAUUCCCUCUCUUGUUACAUGAGAUACAAGGUGGGUGAGGUAAUAUCUUUUACUGGACAAGCUUCUCUUGUUACAUUGCUUUUUUCAGCCAGUCAUGAGCCAAACAUUGUUGUUUAUAGCUAUAGGUAUUGUUUAUCCAAGUAACAUAACAGACAGAAAGCUGAUAUAGUUUUAUGAGCUUCUUGUCAACUUCUGAUAUUAUCACGAAGGUAUUUUAUAUGUUCCAUUCUAUUUGGCCCUGGUGAGGCCUCAGCUGGAGCACAGUGUCCAAUUCUGUAUGCCACACUUUAAGAAAGAUGUUAGUAAUGGGAGAUUCAAUC